UUGUGCCUACGGGGGGCAGCAGUGAGGAAUAUUGGUCAAUGGGAGAGAUCCUGAACCAGCCACGCCGCGUGAGGGAAGACGGCCCUAUGGGUUGUAAACCUCUUUUGUCGGAGAACAAAACCCGGGACGUGUCCCGGACUGCGUGUAUCCGAAGAAAAAGCAUCGGCUAACUCCGUGCCAGCAGCCGCGGUAAUACGGAGGUGGCAAGCGUUGUCCGGAUUUAUUGGGCGUAAAGCGAGUGCAGGCGGAUCAA
rnacentral:rRNA from 1 species